UCUUUUGGCCGCGCCGCUGCCUCUCUUGUGCUUGCGUCUGCGAAGGGGAGGAAGGAGACGAUGAGGCCUUGCAGGCGCCGAGGUUUGUUUCAUUUGCCACGUGGGGUGGCAGGAGGGAGGAUGGAUCCUGACCCACCUACUUAGUAGAAGCUAACUGCCCUAAAGGGAGCUGAAGCUACCCUCUUCCCAAGAGGAGCAUUCCUGAUUCCUGUAGCCCUGGCUUCAAAGAGGGCGAGAAGAAGCAACUGCCUGUUUUCUCCUCUGGGUGGCAGCAGGGUCAAGAACAGAGGGCAAUGGAUUUCCAAGAGCCUGGAAAAGCCAAGUGCUUCCCAGCAAAGAGGUUAGUGGCUGAUGACUUGUUACCACACACAGCUCAAAAGCUGCCUCCCCAGCAUUUUCUUCAAGACCUUCCCAUGUGCGCCUCUGUCUCUUUGCAUAUGGCAUACCUGGCAGUGUGGUUGUGACUCCUGGAAAACAAGUGGAGGCUCCUUCCAAUCCAACUUCAUCUUUGCGAAGUUUUGGGAACAGGGCAGAGGACAGAAACCUCUUUUGAAAUGUCUCUUCUGUCUGUAUGUGGCCGCAAAUAUUUACAAGCUGUGAGAGAAUAAAAGUUGAAUGUACAACUUUCAGACAA